rnacentral:rRNA from 1 species
AACUAACAAGGAUUCCCCUAGUAACGGCGAGUGAAGAGGGAAGAGCCCAAGAUUGAAAGCUGGCGUCUUCGGCGUCCGCAUUGUAAUCUCAAGAAGUGUUUUCCGCUUCGGACCAUGCCUAAGUCCCUUGGAAAAGGGCAUCAUAGAGGGUGAUAAUCCCGUACAUGGCAUGGAGCGCCCGAAGCUUUGUGAUACGCUUUCUAAGAGUCGAGUUGUUUGGGAAUGCAGCUCAAAAUGGGUGGUAAAUGCCAUCUAAGGCUAAAUAUUGGGGAGAGACCGAUAGCGAACAAGUACAGUGAUGGAAAGAUGAAAAGAACUUUGAAAAGAGAGUUAAACAGUACGUGAAAUUGCCAAAAGGGAAGGGUAGGAGGUCAGAGAUGCGGCCUGGGAUUCAGCCUUGCUUUUGCUUGGUGUUUUUCCCAGAUUGCAGGCCAACGUCGGUUUUGGGCACUGGAGAAGGGUAGGAGGAACGUGGCACCUCUCGGGGUGUGUUAUAGCCUCCUACUGGAUACAGCGACCGAGACCGAGGACAGCAGCGUACUCGCAAGAGCGGGCCUUCGGGCACCUUUACGCUUAGGGCGUUGGCAUAAUGGCCCUCUACCACCCGUCUU